AAGGGUGGAAAGGCUUUGAACGGAAGGAAGGGGAGAUGGGGUGUCCCGGAGCCCCCCCCUCACUUCCCGCCCGGCACCCCGUUUCCUUCCUCUCAAAGGGGGGCCUUGUUUGGGGGCCUCCCUGAUGCGGAGAGCAGCCCCCCAGCCUCCUGUGAGUGUGUGAGAAGCCGCGGGGGCCGCCGUCUGCUCCCCACCUUCGUCCGAUCCCGGGAAGAAGGGCUGAGGCUGGGUCAGGCCGGCCCAGCCCUGGUGGGGGCACCCUGGGGUGUCCCCUGGCCAGAAGCCGGGCUGGGAGGCGGCCCGGACGGCGCUUCUGCCCCAGCAGGCUCUGAGUCCCAGGAAAGGCCUCCCCGGCAGGCCUUCGUCCCCCCGUGCUUGGGGGCCACCAGGAAAGCCGUCACCCUGCCAGGCCUGGGCGGGGGCUCCCGGGGGACGGCGGCUGCCCAACAGGAUGCCCGGAGGGGGCGCCUCCGCUGCCUGGGCCACGUGCUCGGCCAGCAGGGAGCCCCGGAGCAGGGUCCCUCCUGCCUCUCCUCCGUCCUGGCUCCGCGUCUUGUUUCCGCCCACAUCCGCCCCCUUUACCUGCCCUGCCGCCAUCUUAGUUCGGGCUCCCCCUGGGGGGACCGGCAGAGUCGGAGCUCGGCCGCCGGGCCCAUCCAUGCCAUGAUGGAGAAACUGAGGCCCGGAGCCCGGGGGGCAGUGACUAGAGGCCCGAGAUUAGAACCCAGGCCCUCCGACCCCAGACUCGGCCUGUUGGAGCCGAAUCCCAGUCGGUUUUCCGGGCCUCCCCCGUCCCUCAAGGAGGGGCAGCCGGGAGCAUCCUUCACUGGGGCGCCCUCGGGGGAACGUUCCCUCCAGAUGCAGGAGAAGAGAGGCCCCGCCUGCCCCAACCACUCAGCCCGGCCGUUCCUCGGGUUCUGUAUUCGAGGCCAGCUCUGCCCUUCCGGACCAGGCUGGGGGAGCCGCCACAGCUGGGGAUCCCUGCCCAGCGGCUCUGUCUGUAGUCAGGGGGUCCAGGCCCCCGUGUGCCAGGCCCCGUGCCAAAGGCAGAAGACGCUCCCCGCUCUCUAG
rnacentral:lncRNA from 1 species